AUGAUAUCUUCCGUUUUGGAAACGAAGUAUGAAAGAGGUCACUACCUGCUACAUAUAUAUUUUUUGACCCUUGACCUGAAGCGACAUAUGACACGGAUACAAUUUCCUAUUUAUUCAGAUGGCAGUUUGAAAGAUGGGUUCACCCAGAAAGAUCGCCACAAGGUUCAACAUAAACCCAAGCAUGGUGACAGGCUUUUGUCUGUUUCCUCUCAGGCUUCAGAGAUGAAUGAUCACUUGCUCUUGUCUACAGUGGAUGUAAGUGAGAAAUGUGUGACCUGACUCUAAUAAGCGGGGCUUGACCCCUUUUGGAAAGUAGAGGAGAUAAUUCUAUUUGCGGCAAUUGGGUUUGCCAUCACACAAGGACAAGCAAAUCAGGAAAAUAAACUGAAUGAAACUUUUGACUAUUGUGAAUGUAGUCACUUUAUGUAACUAUUAUUAUAUUAAAACAAGUUAUUGUCUUCUGUCAAUGUAUGCACAUAA